UACGGGGGGAGCAAGCGUUGUUCGGAUUUAUUGGGCGUAAAGAGCUCGUAGGCGGCUUGUCGCGUCGACUGUGAAAACCCGCGGCUCAACCGUGUGGUCUGCAGUCGAUACGGGCAGGCUAGAGUUCGGUAGGGGCGUGCGGAACUUCCGGUGGAGCGGUGAAAUGCGUAGAUAUCGGAAGGAACACCGGUGGCGAAAGCGGCGCGCUGGACCUCUUCUGACGCUGAGGCGCGAAAGCCCAGGGGAGC
rnacentral:rRNA from 1 species